GACGAACGCUGGCGGCGUGCUUAACACAUGCAAGUCGAACGGAAAGGCCUCUUUCGGGGGGUACUCGAGUGGCGAACGGGUGAGUAACACGUGAGUAACCUGCCCUUGACUUUGGGAUAACUUCAGGAAACUGGGGCUAAUACCGGAUAGGAGCUCCUGCUGCAUGGUGGGGGUUGGAAAGUUUCGGCGGUUGGGGAUGGACUCGCGGCUUAUCAGCUUGUUGGUGGGGUAGUGGCUUACCAAGGCUUUGACGGGUAGCCGGCCUGAGAGGGUGACCGGCCACAUUGGGACUGAGAUACGGCCCAGACUCCUACGGGAGGCAGCAGUGGGGAAUAUUGCACAAUGGGUGGAAGCCUGAUGCAGCAACGCCGUGUGCGGGAUGACGGCCUUCGGGUUGUAAACCGCUUUCGCUCAUGACGAAGCUUUGUGUGACGGUAGUGGGUAAAGAAGCACCGGCUAACUACGUG
rnacentral:rRNA from 1 species